AUUUAAAUAGCUUAUUUGAUUAAAGUAUAAUAUUGAAGAUAUUAAGAAAAUAUAUUUUUAUUUUUAAAUA
rnacentral:tRNA from 1 species